rnacentral:tRNA from 1 species
GCCGGCGUAGCUCAGUAGGUAGAGCAGCUGAUUCGUAAUCAGCAGGUCAGCGGUUCGACUCCGCUCGCCGGCUCCA